rnacentral:piRNA from 1 species
UCAAAAACAUGAUAAUUGAAG